rnacentral:rRNA from 1 species
UACGGGGGGGGCAAGCGUUGUUCGGAAUUACUGGGCGUAAAGGGCUCGUAGGCGGCCAACUAAGUCAUACGUGAAAUCCCUCGGCUUAACCGGGGAACUGCGUCUGAUACUGGAUGGCUUGAGUUCGGGAGAGGGAUGCGGAAUUCCAGGUGUAGCGGUGAAAUGCGCAGAUAUCAGGAGGAACACCGAUGGCGAAGGCAGGUCUCUGGGCAUUAACUGACGCUGAGGAGCGAAAGCAUGGGGAGCGAACAGG